rnacentral:rRNA from 1 species
CUUAAGUGGGGAAUAACGCAUCGAAAGAUGUGCUAAUACAGCAUAAACUCUGAGGAGGAAAGGUGGGGACCCUGUGAGGGGCCUAUCGCUAUAUGAGCGGCCGAUGGUCGAUUAGCUAGUUGGUGAGGUAAGAGCUCACCAAGGCGAUGAUCGAUAGCUGUUCUGAGAGGAAGAUCAGCCACACUGGGACUGANACACGGCCCAGACUCCUACGGGAGGCAGCAGUGGGGAAUUUUGGACAAUGGGGGGAACCCUGAUCCAGCAACGCCGCGUGAAUGAAGAAGGCCUUAGGGUUGUAAAGUUCUUUUGUCAGGGAAGAAAGAUGUUGGGCUAAAACCCUAGCAGUAUGACGGUACCUGAAGAAUAAGCACCGGCUAACUACGUGCCANCAGCUUCGCGGUANUACGUAGGGUGCGAGCGUUAAUCGGAAUAACUGGGCGUAAAGAGUGCGUAGGCGGAUAUUUAAGUUAGAUGUGAAAUGCCCGAGCUUAACUUGGGACUGGCAUGUAAUACUGGGUAUCUAGAGUUUGUCAGAGGGGGGUAGAAUUCCACGUGUAGCAGUGAAAUGCGUAGAGAUGUGGAGGAAUACCAAUGGCGAAGGCAGCCCCCUGGGAUAGAACUGACGCUGAGGCACGAAAGCGUGGGUAGCAAACAGGAUUAGAUACCCUGGUAGUCCACGCCCUAAACGAUGUCUACUUGCUGUUGGGGGUGAAACCUUAGUAGCGAAGCUAACGCGAGAAGUANACCGCCUGGGGAGUACGGUCGCAAGAUUAAAACUCAAAGGAAUUGACGGGGACCCGCACAAGCGGUGGAUGAUGCGGAUUAAUUCGAUGCAACGCGAAAAACCUUACCUGCUCUUGACAUGCCAAGAAUUCUGUAGAGAUAUGNAAGUGCCUUCGGGAACUUGGACACAGGUGCUGCAUGGCUGUCGUCAGCUCGUGUCGUGAGAUGUUGGGUUAAGUCCCGCAACGAGCGCAACCCUUGUCAUUAAUUGCCAUCAUUAAGUUGGGCACUUUAAUGAGACUGCCGGUGACAAACCGGAGGAAGGUGGGGAUGACGUCAAGUCCUCAUGGCCCUUAUGGGUAGGGCUUCACACGUAA